rnacentral:lncRNA from 1 species
AUGGGACCUAUGCAUGCUAGGCAAGCACUCACUCCUCCAAUGAAGCAAACCCCAACCUCUGCGUUUCCAUUUCUACUGUACCUCAGAAAAAUAAGUGGUCAACACAAUACACAGAGGAACAAGGUGAAGAAGCAGGUUCGGGGCCCUCGGAGACUCCUGUCUAGAGAGGAGACUUGCUGGAAAUAUAUCAACUUGGACAGCCAUCCCCAGGGGCCUGCUGUUGAAAUAUUUCCUGAGUGCUGAAGCUGAAGUGACCUGAACUUCUGGUCCAUCUGCCUCUACCUCCCUGGACUGGGAUUACAGGCACAGUCACAUCCCUGGCCAAGACUGAAGACUGAAGUCACCGACAGAAGAACCGCCGAGGCCAGUGCUAAAUGAGCCUUCAAAGCAACAGGAUCUCAGUCCUCCCCCUUUAGAGGGAUGGGUGCCCUCCCACCUGCUACAAUACAAG